CGAAUGCUGACAUAAGUAACGAUAAAGCGGGUGAAAAGCCCGCUCGCCGGAAGACCAAGGGUUCCUGUCCAACGUUAAUCGGGGCAGGGUGAGUCGACCCCUAAGGCGAGGCCGAAAGGCGUAGUCGAUGGGAAACAGGUUAAUAUUCCUGUACUUGGUGUUACUGCGAAGGGGGGACGGAGAAGGCUAUGUUGGCCGGGCGACGGUUGUCCCGGUUUAAGCGUGUAGGCUGGUUUUCCAGGCAAAUCCGGAAAAUCAAGGCUGAGGCGUGAUGACGAGGCACUACGGUGCUGAAGCAACAAAUGCCCUGCUUCCAGGAAAAGCCUCUAAGCAUCAGGUAACAUCAAAUCGUACCCCAAACCGACACAGGUGGUCAGGUAGAGAAUACCAAGGCGCUUGAGAGAACUCGGGUGAAGGAACUAGGCAAAAUGGUGCCGUAACUUCGGGAGAAGGCACGCUGAUAUGUAGGUGAAGUCCCUCGCGGAUGGAGCUGAAAUCAGUCGAAGAUACCAGCUGGCUGCAACUGUUUAUUAAAAACACAGCACUGUGCAAACACGAAAGUGGACGUAUACGGUGUGACGCCUGCCCGGUGCCGGAAGGUUAAUUGAUGGGGUCAGCGCAAGCGAAGCUCUUGAUCGAAGCCCCGGUAAACGGCGGCCGUAACUAUAACGGUCCUAAGGUAGCGAAAUUCCUUGUCGGGUAAGUUCCGACCUGCACGAAUGGCGUAAUGAUGGCCAGGCUGUCUCCACCCGAGACUCAGUGAAAUUGAACUCGCUGUGAAGAUGCAGUGUACCCGCGGCAAGACGGAAAGACCCCGUGAACCUUUACUAUAGCUUGACACUGAACAUUGAGCCUUGAUGUGUAGGAUAGGUGGGAGGCUUUGAAGUGUGGACGCCAGUCUGCAUGGAGCCGACCUUGAAAUACCACCCUUUAAUGUUUGAUGUUCUAACGUGGACCCGUGAUCCGGGUUGCGGACAGUGUCUGGUGGGUAGUUUGACUGGGGCGGUCUCCUCCUAAAGAGUAACGGAGGAGCACGAAGGUUGGCUAAUCCUGGUCGGACAUCAGGAGGUUAGUGCAAUGGCAUAAGCCAGCUUGACUGCGAGCGUGACGGCGCGAGCAGGUGCGAAAGCAGGUCAUAGUGAUCCGGUGGUUCUGAAUGGAAGGGCCAUCGCUCAACGGAUAAAAGGUACUCCGGGGAUAACAGGCUGAUACCGCCCAAGAGUUCAUAUCGACGGCGGUGUUUGGCACCUCGAUGUCGGCUCAUCACAUCCUGGGGCUGAAGUAGGUCCCAAGGGUAUGGCUGUUCGCCAUUUAAAGUGGUACGCGAGCUGGGUUUAGAACGUCGUGAGACAGUUCGGUCCCUAUCUGCCGUGGGCGCUGGAGAACUGAGGGGGGCUGCUCCUAGUACGAGAGGACCGGAGUGGACGCAUCACUGGUGUUCGGGUUGUCAUGCCAAUGGCACUGCCCGGUAGCUAAAUGCGGAAGAGAUAAGUGCUGAAAGCAUCUAAGCACGAAACUUGCCCCGAGAUGAGUUCUCCCUGACCCUUUAAGGGUCCUGAAGGAACGUUGAAGACGACGACGUUGAUAGGCCGGG
rnacentral:rRNA from 1 species